GAUGAUCCAAGCAAUACAAGUAUUAAGGUUUCACCUUUUGGAAUUAGAAAAGGUUCAUGAAUUGUGCGAUAACUUCUGCCACCGGUACAUUAGUUGUUUGAAAGGAAAAAUGCCAAUAGACCUCGUUAUUGAUGAAAGGGAUGGCAGCUCCAAAUCAGACCACGAAGAACUCUCAGGAUCUUCCACAAAUUUAGCCGAUCAUAAUCCUUCAUCUUGGAGAGACCACGAUGAUGCAACCUCCACGCACUCGGCAGGCACACCAGGGCCCUCCAGUGGGGGCCAUGCUUCCCAGAGCGGAGACAACAGCAGCGAGCAAGGUAA